rnacentral:rRNA from 1 species
UGUGUAGGCGGUUCUUUAAGUUUGGUGUGAAAUCUCCCGGCUCAACCGGGAGGGUGCGCCGAAUACUGAGGGACUAGAGUGCGGGAGAGGAAAGUGGAAUUCCUGGUGUAGCGGUGAAAUGCGUAGAUAUCAGGAGGAACACCGGUGGUGUAGACGGCUUUCUGGCCGUAACUGACGCUGAGACACGAAAGCGUGGGUAGCAAACAG